GGGGUACUGGCCGAUUGGAUAAGGCGCUGUGUUUAGGCCGCAGUGGGAAACCGCGCAGGUUCGAAUCCUGCGGACCUCA
rnacentral:tRNA from 1 species